CGAAAGCCUGACGGAGCAAUACCGCGUGAGGGAGGAAGGCUCUUGGGUUGUAAACCUCUUUUCUCAGGGAAGAAAUCUGACGGUACCUGAGGAAUCAGCAUCGGCUAACUCCGUGCCAGCAGCCGCGGUAAUACGGAGGAUGCAAGCGUUAUCCGGAAUGAUUGGGCGUAAAGCGUCCGCAGGUGGCAGUUCAAGUCUGCUGUCAAAGACCGGGGCUCAACCCUGGAAAGGCAGUGGAAACUGAACAGCUAGAGUGCGGUAGGGGCAGAGGGAAUUCCCAGUGUAGCGGUGAAAUGCGUAGAGAUUGGGAAGAACACCGGUGGCGAAAGCGCUCUGCUAGACCGCAACUGACACUCAGGGACGAAAGCUAGGGGAGCGAAUGGGAUUAGAUACCCCAGUAGUCCUAGCCGUAAACGUUGGAUACUAGGCGUUGCUCGUAUCGACCCGAGCAGUGUCGUAGCUAACGCGUUAAGUAUCCCGCCUGGGGAGUACGCCGGCAACGGUGAAACUCAAAGGAAUUGACGGGGGCCCGCACAAGCGGUGGAGUAUGUGGUUUAAUUCGAUGCAACGCGAAGAACCUUACCAAGACUUGACAUGUCGCGAACCCUGCUGAAAGGUGGGGGUGCCUUCGGGAGCGCGAACACAGGUGGUGCAUGGCUGUCGUCAGCUCGUGUCGUGAGAUGUUGGGUUAAGUCCCGCAACGAGCGCAACCCUCGUUUUUAGUUGCCAGCGGGUAAAGCCGGGCACUCUAGAGAGACUGCCGGUGACAAACCGGAGGAAGGUGGGGGAUGACGUCAAGUCAGCAUGCCCCUUACGUCUUGGGCAACACACGUACUACAAUGCUACGGACAAAGGGCAGCAAGUUAGCAAUGACAAGCAAAUCCCACAAACCGUGGCUCAGUUCAGAUUGGAGGCUGCAACUCGCCUCCAUGAAGUCGGAAUCGCUAGUAAUUGCAGGUCAGCAUACUGCAGUGUAUUCGUUCCCGGGCCUUGUACACACCGCCCGUCACACCAUGGAAGCUGGCCACGCCCGAAGUCGUUACCCUAACCGCAAGGAGGGGGACGCCGAAGGCAGGGCUGGUGACUGGGGUGAAGUCGUAACAAGGUAGCCGUACCGGAAGGUGUGGCUGGAUCACCUCCUUUACAGGGAGACCUACCCCAUCGGUAUCGAAAGAAAAUCUAGAGAUAACGAUGAGGUCACCCCUAAGGUCGGUCGAGGAAAUGGUGUGGCUUUUCAACUAUAAUCGGUUCGGUAUCAUAGUCGGGGCUAUUAGCUCAGGUGGUUAGAGCGCACCCCUGAUAAGGGUGAGGUCCCUGGUUCGAGUCCAGGAUGGCCCACCUAAACUUGUGGAUACUACUGACAGCAAAGUGACUGGAAAAACCCCAGUCAGACUGCUGGCAUGUGAACCAGCCAGAACCUUGAAAACUGCAUAAGUAACGCGUUAAAGCAAGCAGAUACAGCCGUAGUAAGCGCGAAAGCUGUAAUGCUUGCUGUGUAUAAACCAAUGUGGUCAAGCUAAUCAGGGCUGACGGUGGAUACCUAGGCACACAGAGGCGAAGAAGGACGUGGCGACCGACGAAAAGCUCCGGGGAGCUGGAAGCAAGCAUCGAGCCGGAGAUCUCCGAAUGGGGCAACCCUAAAUACUACCUGCUGAAUAUAUAGGCAGGCUUGAGCCAACCCAGCGAACUGAAACAUCUUAGUAGCUGGAGGAACAAAAAGAAAAAUCGAUUCCCUAAGUAGUGGUGAGCGAACAGGGAACAGCCUAAACCAGCUGUUACGACAGUUGGGGUAGUGGGACAGCAACAAUAGAUAGUCUAGUCUAAACGAAGCAGUUGGCAUACUGCACCAGAGAAGGUGAAAGUCCUGUAAUUGAAAGGCGAAACUGCUAUAGCUGAAUCCCGAGUAGCACGGGGCACGAGGAAUCCCGUGUGAAUCAGCGAGGACCAUCUCGUUAAGGCUAAAUACUACUGUGUGACCGAUAGUGAACCAGUACCGCGAGGGAAAGGUGAAAAGAACCCCGCAAGGGGAGUGAAAUAGAACAUGAAACCGUCAGCUGUCAAGCAGUGGAAGGACGAUUCAACGUCUGACCGCGUGCCUGUUGAAGAAUGAGCCGGCGACUUAUAAGCAGUGGCAGGUGAAGGCGAGAAUGCCACAACCAAAGCGAAAGCGAGUCUGAAUCGGGCGUUAAAGUCACUGUUUAUAGACCCGAACCCGGGUGAUCUAACCAUGUCCAGGAUGAAGCUUGGGUAACACCAAGUGGAGGUCCGAACCGACCGAUGUUGAAAAAUCGGCGGAUGAGGUGUGGUUAGGGGUGAAAUACCAAUCGAACCCGGAGCUAGCUGGUUCUCCCCGAAAUGUGUUGAGGCGCAGCGGUUGUGAAUAUAGCCUGGGGGUAAAGCACUGUUUCGGUGCGGGCUGCCUUAAGCGGUACCAAAUCGAGACAAACUCAGAAUACCAGGUGCACACACAACCAGUGAGACGGUGGGGGAUAAGCUCCAU
rnacentral:sRNA from 1 species